ACGAGGGGGGCAAGCGUUGUUCGGAAUUAUUGGGCGUAAAGGGCGCGUAGGCGGUGCGGUAAGUCACCUGUGAAAUCUCCGGGCUUAACUCGGAAAGGUCAACUGAUACUGUGCGACUAGAGUGCAGAAGGGGCAACUGGAAUUCUCGGUGUAGCGGUGAAAUGCGUAGAUAUCGAGAGGAACACCUGCGGCGAAGGCGGGUUGCUGGGCUGACACUGACGCUGAUGCGCGAAAGCCAGGGGAGCGAACGGGA
rnacentral:rRNA from 1 species